rnacentral:rRNA from 1 species
GUGGGGAAUUUUGGACAAUGGGCGCAAGCCUGAUCCAGCAAUGCCGCGUGUGUGAAGAAGGCCUUCGGGUUGUAAAGCACUUUUGGCAGGAAAGAAAUAGCGCGUGCUAAUACCAUGCGCGAAUGACGGUACCUGCAGAAUAAGCACCGGCUAACUACGUGCCAGCAGCCGCGGUAAGACGUAGGGUGCAAGCGUUAAUCGGAAUUACUGGGCGUAAAGCGUGCGCAGGCGGUUUUGUAAGACAGGUGUGAAAUCCCCGGGCUCAACCUGGGAACUGCGCUUGUGACUGCAAGGCUAGAGUGUGUCAGAGGGAGGUGGAAUUCCGCGUGUAGCAGUGAAAUGCGUAGAGAUGCGGAGGAACACCGAUGGCGAAGGCAGCCAUCUGGCCUAAUACUGACACUGAGGUGCGAAAGCAUGGGGAGCAAACAGGAUUAGAAACCCCAGUAGUCC